GUCUUAGAGGAGAUGGAGAGAGAGUUUGGGAUCUCGUACCCGUCUGGUCUGCCCCCUGAGGAGCGUCAGCAAUACCAGAAGGACAUCCUGGCACUUCACCAGCGGAACUGUGACCUGCGCAGCAGCCUGCAAAGCAGACAGGAAGAACUGGAGGGGGCAAAGGUCACGGUGGGAGACAUAGAGGUUGAGAGGAACAGUCUACAUGAGAGGGUAGGUGGAAGUGCAACAGGCUACAUCUCAAUAAUCCUAGAUCUAAAAGGAUUUGUGUAAUCAAUUUGGUGAAAACUCCACAAACUAGCCAAUCAGGGAGCUAGGGAGAGCUAUGACCAUAUAGUUUACUGUAUCUUUCUGAUCUAGCAUCAUAAUGCUUUGGUUGAAACCACAAUGGUCAAACUAUGUCUGUCUGCUGGCGAAUGGCUAAACUCUCUCUGUCUAUGGGUCUGGUGCCAGUUACUGGGUCUCCAUAAAGCGUGGCGAACAGGCAGCCUCUCUCCUCCCUACAGCUCCUCAGGGAGCUCCAGUGGUGUGGUUCUGAGUCCUGGCUGGGCCUCCCCUGGUUCCCCUGGUUCCCCUUCAUUCCUUGGCUCUCCUCCCUUCCCCGGGUCACCUCUGUUCCUCAGGAGACCCAUCGCCAUGGGGAUCUUCCCGGCCCUCUCAACUGGGGGGGACAUAUCCUCCUCGGCCUCUCCAUCACCCUCCCCCUGGCCUGGGAGUGUCCCACAAGGCAGCCCCUGUCGUAGCCCUAGCCCCAGCCCCAGCGUCAGCCUGGAGGGUGAGACAGACAGACUACAGAGGUACGUACAACUGAGAGGGUUAAAUUACAACAUGGUGGUGUGGGUCAGUGUUUCCCAACUGGUGUGUUGUGUGGUGUGUGGUGUGUGGUGUGUUGUGUGUGUUGUUGUGUGUUGUGUGGUGUGUGUUGUGUUGUGUUGUGUGGUGUGUGGUGUGGUGUGUGGUGUGUUGUGUGGUGUGUUGUGUGUGUUGUGUGAUGUAUGGUGUGUUGUGUGGUGUGUUGCGUGUGUUGUGUUGUGUGUUGUGUGUUGUGUGUUGUGUGUUGUGUGUUGUGUUGUGUGGUGUGUGUUGUGUUGUUGUGUGUUGUGUUGUGUUGUGUGGUGUGUGUUGUGUGGUGUGGUGUGUGGUGUGUGGUGUGUUGUGUGGUGUGUUGUGUGUGUUGUGUUGUGUGGUGUGUGGUGUGUGGUGUGUUGGGUGUCGUGACCCUGACCUCCCUCGAUAACCCCCACAGGUGUAUAGAAAGGCUGAAGGCCCGGAACGAGCGUCUGACUGCAGCUCUGGACAGGAGAAAGGGAGAGUCUGAGCAGAUCAGUAUGACGCUCAGCAGACACGAAGCUGACAGCACAGCCCUGCAGAUGGCUCUCCAAUACUGCGAGGAGUGUGAGGAGGCCUACAGUGAGUUACUGUCUGUGUACGAGGGCAGGAGACAGCAGGUCAUACCACACUGGAGACACACAGCAGGCCCGGUCAUGGAGAGUCAGCAGGCCAAAAGUCCCAGGCCGUCCCUUAGGAGUCUGAGAACUGAGGAGUUGUCAACCUCCUUCUCAACACCAGGGGGUGCUGUUGAGACAGAAACACACAUCCAGACCAGGUUCCAUCUUUAUUAUCCAGCCAGGGGGUCCGAGGUAGAGGGGUGCGAGGCGGACAUUCGGGAGCGUAUUGAGCGGUUGAAGCACGACAGGGCAGCAGUGUGUGUCCCUAAGCCAGGGCCUGGGGGAGAGGGGAAUCUCAGCCCAGAUACAGGCACCCUGGCUGGGCUUAGAGGGAGCCGCGGAGCACAGGGGGGCCAGGACACCUCCAACCCCCAGAGCACCAAGAGAGAGAAGGCUGUUCUGCUCUAUGACCUGGUCACUGUCAGGGUGGGUGAUAUAUAUUGUACUAUACACUUUACUGUACUGUGUCGGCUUUACAUUCAAUUCAUGAAAUAUGAAUCUGAAUACUCUAAUUUUGCACAGACUAUUUCUGUCUUUGAUUAUCCAACAGUAUAA
rnacentral:lncRNA from 8 species